UGGGGGAUCGUAUAAUGGCAGUACAGCGGACUUUGGAUCCGUUAGUCCAGGUUCGAGUCCUGGUCCCCCAG
rnacentral:tRNA from 1 species